CAUAGCUGAAAUAGAGGGAGUUUGAAGUAAAGUAAGCAGUAUGAGGGAUAGAAACUCGACCUUCCAAGAACUCUCAUGUAAUAGAAAGUUGUGACUACAUCUUGUUCUAUGUUCAAUGACUGCGAUAUGAGUGAUGUAUGAAUGGACAGGUUAGUGGCAUUGUGUUAUGGUUUUAAGACAAACCAUAAACAGAGGGAAUGUAGAAUAUUGCAUAUUCUAUGUUUCUAUUGAUUAUAUAUGGAUGUGUGGAUUGACAUAAGGAACAGAUGGUAUAAGUCACAAGGCUUUCUUUGUUCGAGAGCUCUGGAAUGUGGAUUUGGGGGUUUUGUCCCUUAUAUGGCUAGAGGUAAAGUCAUUAUGGCACUUCUAUAUAGUAACUGAACAAAGUGACACAAGGUCUCUUGGAUCUGUGCUCUCUCUGGCUCUGUCUUGGCUCUGGGCUCUCUCUGGAUGUAAAGAUGUAAGGAUGUAAAGAAGUCCAGCAAUUACCAUCUGCUGUUGAAUGUCCAUUAUCCUGUAACAUCCUUUGUUGUUUUAUUAUGUAUCCGUAGCUAAGAAUAAACCUGAAGAAACGGUAAGUCAGAUUGCGUAUUAGUACUUUUCAAUAAUAUAAACAUAUAUUAUUGUGGCAAGCAUUUGGCCCAAGACUAUAUAUACAAAAGACGUGUAUAUAUAUCUAUAUCAUUCAACUGAAG